GGGCUAAUACCGGAUAAUUCUUUUCUACACAUGUAGAAAAGCUGAAAGAUGGUUUCGGCUAUCACUCAUAGAUGGGCCCGCGGCGCAUUAGCUAGUUGGUGAGGUAACGGCUCACCAAGGCGACGAUGCGUAGCCGACCUGAGAGGGUGAUCGGCCACACUGGGACUGAGACACGGCCCAG
rnacentral:rRNA from 1 species